rnacentral:rRNA from 1 species
CCUACGGGCGGCUGCAGUCGAGAAUCAUUCACAAUGGGGGAAACCCUGAUGGUGCGACGCCGCGUGGGGGAAUGAAGGUCUUCGGAUUGUAAACCCCUGUCAUGUGGGAGCAAAUUAAAAAGAUAGUACCACAAGAGGAAGAGACGGCUAACUCUGUGCCAGCAGCCGCGGUAAUACAGAGGGCUCAAGCGUUGUUCGGAAUCACUGGGCGUAAAGCGUGCGUAGGCUGUUUCGUAAGUCGUGUGUGAAAGGCGCGGGCUCAACCCGCGGACGGCACAUGAUACUGCGAGACUAGAGUAAGGGAGGGGGAACCGGAAUUCUCGGUGUAGCAGUGAAAUGCGUAGAUAUCGAGAGGAACACUCGUGGCGAAGGCGGGUUCCUGGACAUUAACUGACGCUGAGGCACGAAGGCCAGGGGAGCGAAAGGGAUUAGAUACCCGAGUAGUC